AGACUACCAGCCAGAGAGAGGAGGUCUGGAGAUACUGACUGUUUGUAGAGACUACCAGCCAGAGAGAGAGGAGAGGUCUGGAGAUACUGACUGUUUGAAGAGACUACCAGCCAGAGAGAGGAGAGGUCUGGAGAUACUGACUGUUUGAAGAGACUACCAGCCAGAGAGAGGAGAGGUCUGGAGAUACUGACUGAAGAGACUACCAGCCAGAGAGAGGAGAGGUCUGGAGAUACUGACUGAAGAGACUACCAGCCAGAGAGAGAGGAGAGGUCUGGAGAUACUGACUACCUACGUAAUGUCUAGUGUACCAUUGACAUGGAACAUUCCGGUAACUAUUCACAGAAUUACAUGUCAAUACAUGUGAUUGACAAGCAGCUAAAAAAAAACUAUUGACAGCCUGUGUUCAUUCACAUCUGCAGUACCUGAAUAAAAAUGACAGUCAAUGUUGGUGUAAGCCCCUUUAAAAAAAAAUGCAUUCCUUAUUCCUUUCCUCAACCAGAAACACUGAUCUACAGU